GUUGGAGGCUGCAGUGAGCUAUGAUGGCACCACUGCACCCAGCCUGGGCAACAGAGCAAGAUCCUGUCUCUAAAAUAGUAAUCUUAGUAUUCCCUUUUACUGUCCUACAAAGAAAGAAACAUAAUAAAGCAAGCAUUCUUCUGGCUGGGCUCCCUUAAACAGUACAAGGCCAUCUUAUGGUUCACAUUUUACAUCAAAACAUACCCUUUAUCUAACUCUGAACUUAAGCAUGGCCUUAGUUUUGUUCUUCCUCCAUUCCCAGGGGAGGAAAAAAAGCAAACAUCUGUAGAGGGAAACACCCAUAUUUCCACUGCAUCCUGAUGUACCUUUUUCAUAGGAAAGUCACAAAAAGAGCUUUGGGGGAUGUGUUCACUGUGGUCAGACCAGGGCAUGGUGAUGAUGACCAAGGCAUGAGCUGAAGGUUUUAGGGGUGAACUGUCAUCAGGCUACAGCUUUCAACCAACUCCAUUUAAAAAAUAUUAACAUUUUUCUGAGUAAUUAGAAGUUCAUUUUACUGUUUUUUUUACUCUUCUCAAGCUUCUCAGCUUUCCACAAUAAGGGAAAUAAAAAGUCUGUCCCCAUUCCUGCUCUUCUCCAAAUGGCAAGCUUAGAGGGCUGUGGAUGGCUGCCAGGAGACCUGUCUCCCUGCGGCGGGUUUCAGGCUAGGGGGGCUGAAUGCCGCCUUGAUUUCAGCCCACAAGGAAGCGUGUUGCGGCUGUGGUUCUGAGCACUGGCUCUGUGUCAGGGCCUGUGCACUCUGGGACCACUGAAGAGGCCCAGUCAGCCCCGUGACCUCACUUCUCCCCAGCUCUGCCUUCCCAGUACUCUGUCUCUCUCGGAAUGUGCACCCCAAAGAGGAAGGAAAAAAUGCCUGCUGCACGAGGGAAAUCCAAACGCAAGGCACCAGUGACAUUCGGGGACGUGGCCAUCUACUUCUCCAAGGAGGAGUGGGAAUGCCUGAGCCCCACUCAGAAAGACUUGUAUGAAGAUGUCAUGAUGGAGAACUACCAGAACCUGGCCUCAAUUGGUUUUUCCUGUCGGAGGCCAAAUGUGAUUACCUUAUUGGAGAAGGGGCAGGCGCCCUGGAUGGCGGAGCCAUUGAGAAGACGCCAGGGCCCUGGUGAGUGAUGGAGAACCCAGGCGUGUGUCUCAGUCCACUGGGGCUGCCAUGGCAGGACACCAUACAGCAGGUGGCUGAUAAACCACAGAAAGGUGUUGCUCACAGCUCUGGAGGCUGGAAGUCCAACAUCAAGGUGCAGGCAGAGGCCAGGCGCGGUAGCUCACACC